rnacentral:rRNA from 1 species
GACGAACGCUGGCGGCGUGCUUAACACAUGCAAUUCGAACGAAGUGGCGAACGGGUGAGUAACGCGUAAUCAACCUGCCCUUCAGAGGGGGACAACAGUUGGAAACGACUGCUAAUACCGCAUACUGAAGAAGGGGAGUGCGUCUGAUUGGCUAGUUGGGGGGGUAACGGGCCACCAAGGCGAGGAUCAGUCGCCGGGCUGAUAGGAUGAACGGGACCAUUGGGACUGAGACACGGCCCAGACUCCUACGGGAGGCAGCAGUGGGGAAUCUUCCGCAAUGGACGAAAGUCUGACGGAGCAACGCCGCGGGAGUGAUGACGGCCUUCUGGUUGUAAAGCUCUGUUAAUCGGGACGCGGUACCGGAAUAGAAAGCCACGGCUAACUACGUGCCAGCCGCCGCGGUAAUAC